rnacentral:rRNA from 1 species
CAUGAAGCUGGAAUCGCUAGUAAUCGCGGAUCAGAAUGCCGCGGUGAAUACGUUCCCGGGUCUUGUACACACCGCCCGUCACACCAUGGGAGCCGGAAAUGCCCGAAGUCAGUGACCCAACCGCAAGGAGGGAGCUGCCGAAGGUGGAGCUGGUAACUGGGGUGAAGUCGUAACAAGGUACC